rnacentral:tRNA from 7 species
GGGGAUGUAGCUUAGAUGGUAGAGCGCUUGCUUAGCAUGCGAGAGGUACGUGGAUCAAUACCCCACAUUGCAU